GCUUCCGUAUGGUCUCCCUUGGAACUAUUAUCCCAUCCCUGGAUCCGGGGGAUUGGUAUGCUGCCCUCGAUAUGAAAGAUGCCUAUUUUCACAUCGCAAUCAAUCCGGCCCACAGACGGUUUCUGCGCUUCGUUGUCAACCAGCGCCAUUUCCAAUUUACGGUCCUGCCCUUCGGCCUGGCGUCAGCACCACGAGUGUUUACGAAGUGCAUGUCCGUGGUAGCAGCCUUCCUUCGAAAAAGAAGGAUGCGUGUGUUCCCGUACCUGGACGAUUGGCUACUCGCGGGCAGGUCGGAGGCCGAGGUCCGAUCUCACGUGACACUGGCCUUGCAAACGUUCGACAAGCUCGGCCUCCGGGUCAAUGUGCCCAAGUCCACGUUAGUCCCCACACAGAGACUGGACUUCAUAGGUGCAACCCUGGACUCGGUAACCGCGCAGGCGAGCCUACCAGAGGCACGGUUCAUGUCAAUUCAGAGAGCCGUAAGCUCGGUCCAAAAAUUCCCCACGACAACGGCAAGGUGUUGCAUGCAGCUUCUGGGGCAUAUGGCAGCUUGCCCACACGUGGUCAGACAUGCCCGCCUGAGGCUCCGGCCGUUACAGUUGUGGUUCGCCCGCACGCAUCGCCCCAACAGAGACCCAUUGGAUCAGGUAGUCACGAUCCCAAACCAGGUGCUGAGCUCGCUACGCUGGUGGCUCGAUCGCCAACAGGUAUGCGAAGGGAUCCCCUUCGCUGCCCCACAGCCCACUCUGACGUUGGUAACAGAUGCCUCGGACCUGGGUUGGGGGGCGCACCUGGGGGAACUGCGGACCCAAGGGCUGUGGUCCAGAGAAGACAAGUUGCUUCACAUCAAUCUGAAGGAGCUAAGAGCGGUUCUCCUCGCCUGUCAGACCUUCCGCGCCACCAUAGAAGGUCACAGCGUGGCAGUCCUGACGGACAACACUACCGCCAUGUUCUAUAUAAACAAGCAGGGCGGGUCCCGGUCUUCUCCCCUCUGUCGCGAGGCACUCCAAUUAUGGGACUUCUGUAUAGCCCAUGCGAUACACCUCAUCGCGACGUAUCUUCCGGGGAUUCACAACGGCUUAGCAGACCGCCUCAGCCGAUCCUACCGAAUGCACGUUGAGGCGAGACGUCCUGCAUUCGAUCUUCCGGAGGUGGGGCUUUCCCCGGGUGGAUCUAUUCGCCACCAGGGACAACAGACAAUGCCCUCAGUUCUGCUCGUUCCAGAACCUCAGCCGGGGAUCAUUAGCAGAUGCUUUCAUGAUCCCAUGGGGAAGGAGCCUGAGAUAUGCCUUCCCUCCGUUCCCACUCAUACACAAGGUUCUCCUCAAGACCCGCAGGGACAGGGCGACGAUCAUACUCAUCGCCCCGGCCUGGCCACGCCAGCAUUGGUUCACGUCCCUGCUGGAGCUGUCCAUAGCCGAUCCAAUCACCCUCCCCC
rnacentral:lncRNA from 1 species